rnacentral:rRNA from 1 species
AACGUAGGGUGCAAGCGUUGUCCGGAAUUACUGGGUGUAAAGGGAGCGCAGGCGGACCGGCAAGUUGGAAGUGAAAUCCAUGGGCUCAACCCGUGAAUUGCUUUCAAAACUGCUGGCCUUGAGUAGUGCAGAGGUAGGUGGAAUUCCCGGUGUAGCGGUGGAAUGCGUAGAUAUCGGGAGGAACACCAGUGGCGAAGGCGACCUACUGGGCACCAACUGACGCUGAGGCUCGAAAGCAUGGGUAGCAAACAGG